UUUAGUUGAGCACUCUAGCGAGACUGCCCGGGUUAACCGGGAGGAAGGUGGGGAUGACGUCAAAUCAUCAUGCCCCUUAUGUCUAGGGCUACACACGUGCUACAAUGGCUGGUACAGAGAGAUGCUAAACCGUGAGGUGGAGCCAAACUUUAAAACCAGUCUCAGUUCGGAUUGUAGGCUGAAACUCGCCUACAUGAAGCUGGAGUUGCUAGUAAUCGCGAAUCAGAAUGUCGCGGUGAAUACGUUCCCGGGCCUUGUACACACCGCCCGUAA
rnacentral:rRNA from 1 species